rnacentral:tRNA from 1 species
GACGUUUCUGCGGAACAGGCGUAUUUGUCCGGCGUUCGAAGUGCCGACGUGUAUAUCGGCAUGUGGGGUCCACGUUACGGCGUGAGAAUGUCA